rnacentral:rRNA from 1 species
CGAAGGUAGCAUAAUCAGUAGUUUUUUAAUUGAAAACUUGUAUGAAUGGUUUUACGAAAUAUUAGCUGUUUCUAAAAAAUUAAUUGAAUUUUAUAUUUUAGUAAAAAAGCUAAAAUUAUAUUAAAAGACGAGAAGACCCUAUAGAUUUUUAUAAAAUUAUUAUUUUUAUUUUUAUAAUAUUUUUAAAAUUUAAGUUUAUGUUUUAUUUUAUUGGGGUGAUAGUAAAAUAUAUUAAUCUUUUAUUUAAUUUAUUCAUAAAUUAAUGAAUUAUUGAUCCAAUUAUUUUGAUUAAAAGAUUAAAUUACCUUAGGGAUAACAGCGUUAUUUUUUUGAAGAGUUCAAAUCGAUAAAAAAUUUUGCGACCUCGAUGUUGGAUUA